AACGCACAUUGCGCCCGCUAGUACUCUAGCGGGCAUGCCUGUUCGAGCGUCAUUUCAACCCUCAAGCCCUGCUUGGUGUUGGGGCCCUACGGCUGCCGUAGGCCCUGAAAGCUAGUGGCGGGCUCACUAUAAUUCCGAGCGUAGUAACAUAUCUCGCUUAGGGCGUUUUAGUGGGAUUUAGCCUUCUAUAAUACUUUAAUGGUUGACCUCGGAUCAGGUAGGAAUACCCGCUGAACUUAA
rnacentral:misc_RNA from 1 species